rnacentral:rRNA from 1 species
AGGGAAUCUUCCGCAAUGGACGAAAGUCUGACGGAGCAACGCCGCGUGAGUGAAGAAGGCCUUCGGGUCGUAAAACUCUGUUGCCGGGGAAGAACAAGUGCCGUUCGAACAGGGCGGCGCCUUGACGGUACCCGGCCAGAAAGCCACGGCUAACUACGUGCCAGCAGCCGCGGUAAUACGUAGGUGGCAAGCGUUGUCCGGGAUUAUUGGGCGUAAAGCGCGCGCAGGCAGCUUCUUAAGGCUGAUGUGAAAUCUUGCGGCUCAACCGCAAGCGGUCAUUGGAAACUGGGAGGCUUGAGUGCAGAAGAGGAGAGUGGAAUUCCACGUGUAGCGGUGAAAUGCGUAGAGAUGUGGAGGAACACCAGUGGCGAAGGCGACUCUCUGGGCUGUAACUGACGCUGAGGCGCGAAAGCGUGGGGAGCAAAC